UACGUAGGGUGCGAGCGUUGUCCGGAAUUAUUGGGCGUAAAGAGCUCGUAGGCGGUUUGGCAAGUCGGGUGUGAAAACUUCAGGCUCAACCUGGAGAUGCCACCCGAGACUGCUAUGACUUGAGUCUGGUAGGGGAGCACGGAAUUCCUGGUGUAGCGGUGAAAUGCGCAGAUAUCAGGAGGAACACCGGUGGCGGAGGCGGUGCUCUGGGCCAGUACUGACGCUGAGGAGCGAAAGCGUGGGGAGCAAACAGG
rnacentral:rRNA from 1 species